UCUAUUUUAUCAAAACUCUUCUUUAGUCUUGUCAUGGUGCAAAUAUUUCUUUCAAAUGGUUUUUGAGAAGCAAAAAUACAUGUUAUUGAACUAUCAUAUCAAGAUCAGCUGUUUUGCCCGAUGGGACUGCAAGAAGACGUAGAUCUAAUUCUGUUUAUUAGGCAAGAAAAGGAAGAUUCAACAAUCCUGUUACAAUGAACUCACUGUGUCUUCAUUAUUCAGAUUGAUUAAUUUUGAGGAGAUGGGAUUCGAAUCCUGUACCUAAGAGAUGCGUGGAGGUGUAAAAUCCUGUAUACUUGUUGUAACCACAGCGAUAGCUUUCGGAAUUAAAGAAAAUCAUUGCUCUUGGAAGUCAUCAGCAGGAGUCAGGGCAGCUAGUAGGAUGGCAUUUUGAGGCCAACAGGCUAUUAAUUAUAUUAGACAUUCUAUAAAGUGUUGUCGUAUUUUUUGGUAAUGGAAAAUCAGUAAUGAUUCUGCUACAGUGAGUGUUUUUUCAAUUGUUUUCAGUUUAGUCCCUCUA